rnacentral:tRNA from 2 species
GCGCCGCUGGCUCAACGGAUAGAGCAUCGGACUUCGGAUCCGAGGGUUGGGGGUUCGAAUCCCUCGCGGCGCGCCA